GCCUGGCUGGCUCAGUUGGUAGAGCAUGUGACUCUUGAUCUCAGAGUUGUGAGUUCAAGCCCCACAUUGGGCC
rnacentral:tRNA from 1 species